UUGCAGUUCUAGUUCUUAUACUCAAUCAUACACAUGACAUCUAGUCAUAUUUGACUCCAAAACACUAACCAAGCUUCUUCUUACUUCUCAAAGCUUUGAUGGUG
rnacentral:sRNA from 1 species